CAAAAAUUGAGAGAGAGGAUGAGAACUCAAAAGGACAGAGAGAGAAAGACGGAACUCUCUUGAGAGACUGCCUCUGGGGUGAUCACUCAGAUUUUCUAAGGUCCCUGCUGCCCUACUCUAUGACAGAAUUCCAUCAGCUUGAAGACAGCUGGCAGGAAGCACUGCCCAUCCCUGUCCUUAUCUAAGGAUAGAGAUGACUGUCCAGCCUGCCUCCACACCUGCCCGUCCCUUGGCUCUCUUUUAAGAUACUCCUUUCUCAAUCACUUGGCAUCAUCAGUUGCAAAUUCAAC
rnacentral:lncRNA from 1 species